AAGUCGUAACAAGGUAACCGUAGGUGAACCUGCGGUUGGAUCAUUAUAAAAUGAUGAUUUUCUCUAGGUUGAGUUUUUAAAGAAAUUUAAAAAUUCCUUAGAGAAAAUUCCAACUACCCUUUGUGCACUGUAAAUGUUUUUCGAGUACUUUUGUAAAAAAAAAGUACUCGGCAGUAUUUAAACCCCAAUUUUUUAAUUUUGUCUGAUUUUUUUAUGUAAAUAAAAAGAAAACAACUUUUGACAACGGAUCUCUUGGCUCUC
rnacentral:misc_RNA from 1 species